AACUCGUGACAGAUUAACGCCAUCGUUUCGACAGGAAAGCUGUAUAGGGAGCCAGUUUUGAAAAUGGCUGACGUUGGCGAUGUUUCGAAUACUACUUCUGGAAAAGAAAGAAGAAAUACGGUUACUGAUGGACCCGUUACUGAUCCAGCAGUUGCUACAAAGAGCCUAGAGGCAUCAAAUAAUGCCUUUCACGGCCCGAGAACAAAAUUAGAAAGCAAAUCAGGAGCUUUAAAGAAAUCCAGUCGUUAUCGUAGUCGUUCCUUGUCUGCAAGCAGCACUGACAGUUACAGUUCCGCAUCUUAUACAGGAAGUUCCUCUGAUGAAGAUGACGUUUCACCACGUGAAAAAAUUCAAAAAACGGAAAAAGGAUUUUCUGACUUUUGCGUUAGAAAUAUUAAUCAACAUGCAUUUGGUCGAAGAGAAAUUGAAAUUGCAGAACAAGAAAUGCCUGGAAUUAUGGCUCUUCGAAAACGUGCUUCCGAUGAUAAGCCCCUGAAGAAUGCUAAAAUUGUAGGAUGUACUCAUAUAAAUGCUCAAACGGCAGUUUUGAUUGAGACUUUAGUUGAACUUGGUGCUCAAGUUAGAUGGGCUGCUUGUAAUAUUUAUUCAACUCAAAAUGAAGUAGCUGCAGCAUUAGCUCACGCUGGCUAUCCAGUUUUUGCAUGGAGAGGUGAAACUGAAGAAGAUUUUUGGUGGUGCAUAGACAAAUGUAUAGCGGCGGAAAAUUGGCAGCCUAAUAUGAUUUUAGAUGAUGGAGGAGAUGCAACUCAUUUGAUGUUAAAAAAAUAUAACGCCAUGUUUAAAAUGAUUCAAGGAAUCGUUGAGGAAAGUGUAACAGGUGUACAUAGAUUAUAUCAAUUAUCAAAAGCUGGCAAACUUUCCGUCCCCGCAAUGAAUGUUAAUGAUAGUGUGACCAAAACCAAAUUCGACAAUCUUUAUAGUUGCCGAGAGAGUAUUCUUGAUAGCCUUAAAAGGUCCACUGAUGUUAUGUUUGGAGGAAAACAAGUCGUUAUUUGUGGAUAUGGUGAAGUUGGAAAAGGUUGUUGUCAAGCUUUAAAAGGACUUGGUUGUAUCGUGUAUAUUACUGAAAUUGAUCCUAUUUGUGCCCUACAAGCCAGCAUGGAUGGAUACAGAGUGAUGAAAUUGAAUGAGGUGAUUAGGAACGUGGACAUCGUGAUAACAGCCACUGGGAAUAAAAAUGUCGUAACACGUGAGCAUAUGGAUAAGAUGAAAAAUGGUUGUGUAGUUUGCAACAUGGGCCAUAGCAAUACAGAAAUAGAUAUUAAUAGUUUACGUACUCCUGAUUUGACAUGGGAAAAAGUUAGAUCACAAGUGGAUCAUGUGAUUUGGCCAGAUGGAAGACGAAUAGUACUUUUAGCUGAAGGUCGUUUGGUCAAUCUCUCGUGUUCCAGCAUUCCGUCCUUUGUCGUGUCAAUCACGGCCGCCACACAAGCAUUGGCUCUAAUUGAACUUUUUAAUGCUCCAUCGGGACGUUACAAAAGCGACGUUUAUUUACUGCCUAAGAAGAUGGAUGAAUAUGUAGCAUCCUUGCAUUUGCCCACAUUUGAUGCACAUUUAACAGAGCUUACCGAUGAACAGGCGAAAUAUAUGGGCCUCAAUAAGGCUGGUCCUUUCAAGCCUAAUUAUUAUCGAUACUGAAAUCGACUGGAAUAUGAAGAAUUAAUAAAAAAAUGAGAAAUUUUGUUUUCUCCAUUAACAUCACAUUUCCGUGUUAUUUAUAACAAAAAACAAACAAACAUAGAGACACACCAUUCAACUGUAGAAAAUGAGUUUAAUUCAGUGAUCACUUCUUCUCGUUUUUCAAUAAUAUUUUAGAGAAUUUUAAAUAUUUGAUGUUUACAAAUAAUUUUAGUGAAUUUUAAUUUUUAAACAAAGCUUAUUUCACUAUAUAGUUUCAUGGUAUCGCUACUUAAAAAUGUUAUUAGAUAAUUUCAAUUUAAAUGAAAAUUGGUAGAAAAAUUUAUAAUACAUUCACCAUUGUCAAUAAUAUAAAAAACAAAAAAAAAAAAAAAUAGAAAAAUAAAAAUAAUUGAUGCUCUUUCAGUGAGGAAAGGUGAAUUUAGUUUUUCACAUUGUAGUUUAUCCGAUCGAUGAAAUAUAAUUCCUUUUGUUACCUUGCUCACCGAUCGAGCAUCUAUUGUAAUAGUUUCUUUUUAAAUGUCGUUUUACGAAAAAUAACCAAAGUGCAAUAAGAGCACUCGAAUAAAAUUUUUUUAGUACCGACAACCAAAAUAUAGUAUCAAAUACAGCGUUAUUUGUAUAUUCAUAAAAAAUAUAGAAAAUACCAAUUUUUUAAUUCAGUGAUAAAGAAAAAAUUAUCCGAUUUAUAUAGAGAACAUUUUAAUAACUUUUUACAAGCACUAAAAAAACUUUUUUUUCAUUUAAAAUUAAAUCCUUUCUGUAAACCUCAAUAAAGGCCUAACAUAAAUUAAUUUUUCAAAUUUUUGUUUAAAGAAUUUAAAUUAAACAUUUUUUUGAAAGUAUAAAUGGAAUUAUUUUUUGAAAACUACUUUCUCGAAAAUUGAAAUAAACUUUUGUUCUCCAUAUUUUAUAUUAAUAAAAAUAAAAUAUCUUUAUGUUAUUGAGUAAGAUAACUGAUAUUAAUAAACAAUGAUUAAAUUUUUUGAUUUGCAAUGUAACUGUUAUUAUUAUUGUCGUAUAACAAAAUAAAAAUGUAUAGCAGUGUUCACAGAAAAAUGUCUCGAAUCAUUUGAUUAAAAAUUGUUACAAAAGAAAAAUUAACGAAAUGCACUGUUAAAUUCAAUACACUAAAGCAAUAAAAAAAAAAAACUUAUGUUAUUAAUAUUUUUGUAACAUAAAACCGUAAAUAAAAUACCAUUUACCGAGUGCUCAAUAUAA